AGGAGAUUUUCCUGGCUCUCAGUCUGCCAUGCUAGGUUCGACUGGAUUUCUUCUCUUUUACGUGUCUCCGAAUAUGUAAUUCAAAAUAAAAACUAUACAUAAAAAUGGGAA